rnacentral:rRNA from 1 species
GAUGAACGCUGGCGGCGUGCCUAAUACAUGCAAGUCGAGCGAAUGGAUUGAGAGCUUGCUCCUAUGAAGUUAGCGGCGGACGGGUGAGUAACACGUGGGUAACCUGCCCAUAAGACUGGGAUAACUCCGGGAAACCGGGGCUAAUACCGGAUAACAUUUUGAACCGCAUGGUUCGAAAUUGAAAGGCGGCUUCGGCUGUCACUUAUGGAUGGACCCGCGUCGCAUUAGCUAGUUGGUGAGGUAACGGCUCACCAAGGCAACGAUGCGUAGCCGACCUGAGAGGGUGAUGGGCCACCCUGGGACUGACACACGGCCCAGACUCCUACGGGAGGCAGCAGUAGGGAAUCUUCCGCAAUGGACGAAAGUCUGACGGAGCAACGCCGCGUGAGUGAUGAAGGCUUCCGGGUCGUAAAACUCUGUUGUUAGGGAAGAACAGGUGCUAGUUGAAUAAGCUGGCACCUUGACGGUACCUAACCAGAAAGCCACGGCUAACUACGUGCCAGCAGCCGCCGUAA